rfam:Schizosaccharomyces pombe chromosome I, complete replicon
GCGGCUAUGCCCGAGUGGUCUAAGGGGGCAGAUUUAAGAGGCUUCUGCCUUGAUCCCUGCUGUUGUAAAACGCGAGAGUUCGAACCUCUCUGGCCGCA